GCCGCGCCGCGAGCCCGGGAGAAGCGUGAGGAGACGGCGACACGUCGUAGUUUGCGUUCUGGUUCCCGCCGCCCCCUUCCAUGAGCGAUUCUCACUCCCCAGUAAUCUUUGUCCCUUCUGGACUGCCUUCUCCUAGAAGCCCCGUCAGUCAGAAUCUUCUCUCCAGAACCCACUGCAAGACUUCAGGCUGCAUGCCCAGAUCCAGGGGCCCAGACCCCUCCCCUUUCGGAGGCCUCUCCCUCCGAAUCGCCCGUUCGCUGGAAUUCCUCUCCCGUCCCGGUGCCGCCUCCCCUUAGGAUGCGCCUUUUCUUAGCGACCCUGACCCCGGAACCCCCCUCAUCACGGUCCCUACACUCCGAUCUCCGCUUCCCCAGACUCCCCCAAGACAUCUCUACUCUCGCCCCCAAAUCACUGCACCCUAGGCUCACAGACUCCUGCCCCGCCUGAGAACCCCAGAACUGGGUUGCCCUAGACUCCCCUACAGGUUGCGCUUCUUCCCCCGGCCCCCCAAGAUUCUCUUCGAUCAAGAGGCUCCUCUUUAGGGCCGUAGUCUGCGUUUCUCUGGGGUGCAAGGUUCAGGGGGCGUGGUGGAGACCGGGUCAAGCCUGGAGGGCAGGUCUGGGGUCAGAGGGAGGAUCCUGCAGCCCCGAGUCAGCUCCGAAAGGAACCACAGGCCGGGGACCAGAGAAAGCCUUGGAGUGGGCAAGGUGCUCAUGUGGCCUCUCUGGACCAUCCUCCUGCUUGGGGGACUCUUGGGGGGUCUAGGAACCCCUCUCUGCCGAAGGGAACCCUUUUACUUCCUUGUGGCCAUCAUGAAGAUACUGGGAGACAAAAAUGAUGGCACUCUGUAUACCCCAGAUGAUCUCUCGGCUAGAGAGCCCUGCCCACAGCGCUGGAGCCCAGGGGAAGAGGAGAGAAGGGUACCAAGGAGAUACUCCCUCUUCUCUCCUCUCCCGCGAAGGGACGGACGGUCCAUGGUGUCCUCUAACCUCAUCCCCAUCCCUGGAGAGCAGGGAGAGUCCUGUGGCCCGGGUCGCUGGCUGCAAAUAGUUGCCACCUGGAGAACGCUCAGAUGACACGGAUGGCCAGACCUGGGCACAGAAGUUGACAAAUGGUCGUUGGUGGAGUCUGAGCUGCUGUCUGAAAAUUAACUUUCCUGAGGUAUGACUGACAGUGAAAGGCACCCAUUGUACGCGUGCAUGUCCGAGAGUUCUGACAGACGUGUGCAGACUACGGCACCUGCGUCUCCCCCGAGCUCUCCCUCAUGCCCUUCCCAGUCUCCGCCGCUAACCCGACACCCACUAAUCUGCUGUCUGCCCGUGCGGAUCUGGAUUUCACAUGAAUGGAGUCGUACGGUG